rnacentral:rRNA from 1 species
CCUUUAAAGAAAGCGUAAUAGCUCACUAGUCGAGUCGUCCUGCGCGGAAGAUUUACCGGGGCUAAACUGUCUACCGAAGCUGCGGAUUUGCAUGCAAAUGCAAGUGGUAGGGGAGCGUUGUGUAAGCUGAUGAAGGUGUGUUGAGAAGCAUGCUGGAGGUAUCACAAGUGCGAAUGCUGACAUGAGUAACGAUAAUGCGGGUGAAAAACCCGCACACCGAAAACCCAAGGUUUCCUGCGCAACGCUAAUCGGCGCAGGGUGAGUCGGCCCCUAAGGCGAGGCGGAAACGCGUAGUCGAUGGGAAACAGGUUAAUAUUCCUGUACUGAUCAUAAUUGCGAUGGGGGGACGGAGAAAGCUAGGCCAGCACACUGUUGGAUGUGUGUUUAAGCGCGUAGGUUGGGGACUUAGGCAAAUCCGGGUUCCUAAGACUGAAACGUGAUGACGAGUUUCUACGGAAACGAAGUGGUUGAUGCUCUGCUUCCAGGAAAAGCCUCUAAGCUUCAGAUUAUGACAACCGUACCCCAAACCGACACAGGUGGGUAGGAAGAGAAUUCCAAGGUGCUUGAGAGAACUCGGGUAAAGGAACUCGGCAAAAUGAUACCGUAACUUCGGGAGAAGGUAUGCCUCUGAUGGUGAAUAGCUGUUGGAGGCCGCAGAGAAUAGGCCGCUGCGACUGUUUAUCAAAAACACAGCACUCUGCAAACACGCAAGUGGACGUAUAGGGUGUGACGCCUGCCCGGUGCCGGAAGGUUAAUUGAUGGGGUGCAAGCUCUUGAUCGAAGCCCCGGUAAACGGCGGCCGUAACUAUAACGGUCCUAAGGUAGCGAAAUUCCUUGUCGGGUAAGUUCCGACCUGCACGAAUGGCGUAACGAUGGCGGCGCUGUCUCUACCCGAGACUCAGUGAAGUUGAAAUCGCUGUGAAGAUGCAGUGUACCCGCGGCAAGACGGAAAGACCCCGUGAACCUUCACUACAGCUUGACACUGAACAUUGAAAUGAGUUGCAUAGGAUAGGUGGGAGGCUUAGAAGCAGAGACUCUGGUUUCUGUGGAGCCGACCUUGAAAUACCACCCUGCUUAUUUUGAUGUUCUAACGUAGACCCGUAAUCCGGGUUGCAGACAGUGUCUGGUGGGUAGUUUGACUGGGGCGGUCUCCUCCCAAAGAGUAACGGAGGAGUGCGAAGGUGGGCUCGGUGCGGUCGGAAAUCGCACCAAGAGUGCAAAGGCAGAAGCCCGCUUAACUGCGAGACAGACAAGUCGAGCAGGUACGAAAGUAGGUCUUAGUGAUCCGGUGGUUCUGAAUGGAAGGGCCAUCGCUCAACGGAUAAAAGGUACUCCGGGGAUAACAGGCUGAUUCCUCCCAAGAGUCCAUAUCGACGGAGGAGUUUGGCACCUCGAUGUCGGCUCAUCACAUCCUGGGGCUGUAGCAGGUCCCAAGGGUAUGGCUGUUCGCCAUUUAAAGUGGUACGCGAGCUGGGUUCAGAACGUCGUGAGACAGUUCGGUCCCUAUCUGCCGUGGGCGUUGGAGAUUUGAGGGAAGCUGUUCUUAGUACGAGAGGACCGGAAUGGACGAACCUCUGGUGUACCGGUUGUCACGCCAGUGGCACAGCCGGGUAGCUAUGUUCGGAAGGGAUAACCGCUGAAAGCAUCUAAGCGGGAAGCCCCUCCCAAGAUAAGAUCUCCCUAGACCUUAAAGGUCUCUAAAGAUCCGUUGAAGACUACGACGUUGAUAGGCUCCAUGUGGAAGUGUAGUAAUACAUGCAGCUAAGGAGUACUAAUUGAUCGUGAGGCUUGAUCAU